rnacentral:rRNA from 1 species
AACAAGGAUUCCCCUAGUAGCGGCGAGCGAAGCGGGAAGAGCUCAAAUUUAUAAUCUGGCACCUUCGGUGUCCGAGUUGUAAUCUCUAGAAAUGUUUUCCGCGUUGGACCGCACACAAGUCUGUUGGAAUACAGCGGCAUAGUGGUGAGACCCCCGUAUAUGGUGCGGACGCCCAGCGCUUUGUGAUACAUUUUCGAAGAGUCGAGUUGUUUGGGAAUGCAGCUCAAAUUGGGUGGUAAAUUCCAUCUAAAGCUAAAUAUUGGCGAGAGACCGAUAGCGAACAAGUACCGUGAGGGAAAGAUGAAAAGCACUUUGGAAAGAGAGUUAACAGUACGUGAAAUUGUUGGAAGGGAAACGCUUGAAGUCAGACUUGCUUGCCGAGCAAUCGGUUUGCAGGCCAGCAUCAGUUUUUCGGGGUGGAUAAUGGUAGAGAGAAGGUAGCAGUCUCGGCUGUGUUAUAGCUCUCUACUGGAUACACCCUGGGGGACUGAGGAACGCAGUGUGCCUUUGGCGGGGGUUUCGACCUCUUCACACUUAGGAUGCUGG